GGGUUGUGAGGUUAAGCGACUAAGCGUACACGGUGGAUGCCCUGGCAGUCAGAGGCGAUGAAGGACGUGCUAAUCUGCGAUAAGCGUCGGUAAGGUGAUAUGAACCGUUAUAACCGGCGAUUUCCGAAUGGGGAAACCCAGUGUGAUUCGUCACACUAUCAUUAACUGAAUCCAUAGGUUAAUGAGGCGAACCGGGGGAACUGAAACAUCUAAGUACCCCGAGGAAAAGAAAUCAACCGAGAUUCCCCCAGUAGCGGCGAGCGAACGGGGAGCAGCCCAGAGCCUGAAUCAGUGUGUGUGUUAGUGGAAGCGUCUGGAAAGGCGCGCGAUACAGGGUGACAGCCCCGUACACAAAAAUGCACAUGCUGUGAGCUCGAUGAGUAGGGCGGGACACGUGGUAUCCUGUCUGAAUAUGGGGGGACCAUCCUCCAAGGCUAAAUACUCCUGACUGACCGAUAGUGAACCAGUACCGUGAGGGAAAGGCGAAAAGAACCCCGGCGAGGGGAGUGAAAAAGAACCUGAAACCGUGUACGUACAAGCAGUGGGAGCACAGAGCAAUCUGUGUGACUGCGUACCUUUUGUAUAAUGGGUCAGCGACUUAUAUUCUGUAGCAAGGUUAACCGAAUAGGGGAGCCGAAGGGAAACCGAGUCUUAACUGGGCGUUAAGUUGCAGGGUAUAGACCCGAAACCCGGUGAUCUAGCCAUGGGCAGGUUGAAGGUUGGGUAACACUAACUGGAGGACCGAACCGACUAAUGUUGAAAAAUUAGCGGAUGACUUGUGGCUGGGGGUGAAAGGCCAAUCAAACCGGGAGAUAGCUGGUUCUCCCCGAAAGCUAUUUAGGUAGCGCCUCGUGAAUUCAUCUCCGGGGGUAGAGCACUGUUUCGGCAAGGGGGUCAUCCCGACUUACCAACCCGAUGCAAACUGCGAAUACCGGAGAAUGUUAUCACGGGAGACACACGGCGGGUGCUAACGUCCGUCGUGAAGAGGGAAACAACCCAGACCGCCAGCUAAGGUCCCAAAGUCAUGGUUAAGUGGGAAACGAUGUGGGAAGGCCCAGACAGCCAGGAUGUUGGCUUAGAAGCAGCCAUCAUUUAAAGAAAGCGUAAUAGCUCACUGGUCGAGUCGGCCUGCGCGGAAGAUGUAACGGGGCUAAACCAUGCACCGAAGCUGCGGCAGCGACGCUUAUGCGUUGUUGGGUAGGGGAGCGUUCUGUAAGCCUGCGAAGGUGUGCUGUGAGGCAUGCUGGAGGUAUCAGAAGUGCGAAUGCUGACAUAAGUAACGAUAAAGCGGGUGAAAAGCCCGCUCGCCGGAAGACCAAGGGUUCCUGUCCAACGUUAAUCGGGGCAGGGUGAGUCGACCCCUAAGGCGAGGCCGAAAGGCGUAGUCGAUGGGAAACAGGUUAAUAUUCCUGUACUUGGUGUUACUGCGAAGGGGGGACGGAGAAGGCUAUGUUGGCCGGGCGACGGUUGUCCCGGUUUAAGCGUGUAGGCUGGUUUUCCAGGCAAAUCCGGAAAAUCAAGGCUGAGGCGUGAUGACGAGGCACUACGGUGCUGAAGCAACAAAUGCCCUGCUUCCAGGAAAAGCCUCUAAGCAUCAGGUAACAUCAAAUCGUACCCCAAACCGACACAGGUGGUCAGGUAGAGAAUACCAAGGCGCUUGAGAGAACUCGGGUGAAGGAACUAGGCAAAAUGGUGCCGUAACUUCGGGAGAAGGCACGCUGAUAUGUAGGUGAAGUCCCUCGCGGAUGGAGCUGAAAUCAGUCGAAGAUACCAGCUGGCUGCAACUGUUUAUUAAAAACACAGCACUGUGCAAACACGAAAGUGGACGUAUACGGUGUGACGCCUGCCCGGUGCCGGAAGGUUAAUUGAUGGGGUCAGCGCAAGCGAAGCUCUUGAUCGAAGCCCCGGUAAACGGCGGCCGUAACUAUAACGGUCCUAAGGUAGCGAAAUUCCUUGUCGGGUAAGUUCCGACCUGCACGAAUGGCGUAAUGAUGGCCAGGCUGUCUCCACCCGAGACUCAGUGAAAUUGAACUCGCUGUGAAGAUGCAGUGUACCCGCGGCAAGACGGAAAGACCCCGUGAACCUUUACUAUAGCUUGACACUGAACAUUGAGCCUUGAUGUGUAGGAUAGGUGGGAGGCUUUGAAGUGUGGACGCCAGUCUGCAUGGAGCCGACCUUGAAAUACCACCCUUUAAUGUUUGAUGUUCUAACGUUGACCCGUAAUCCGGGUUGCGGACAGUGUCUGGUGGGUAGUUUGACUGGGGCGGUCUCCUCCUAAAGAGUAACGGAGGAGCACGAAGGUUGGCUAAUCCUGGUCGGACAUCAGGAGGUUAGUGCAAUGGCAUAAGCCAGCUUGACUGCGAGCGUGACGGCGCGAGCAGGUGCGAAAGCAGGUCAUAGUGAUCCGGUGGUUCUGAAUGGAAGGGCCAUCGCUCAACGGAUAAAAGGUACUCCGGGGAUAACAGGCUGAUACCGCCCAAGAGUUCAUAUCGACGGCGGUGUUUGGCACCUCGAUGUCGGCUCAUCACAUCCUGGGGCUGAAGUAGGUCCCAAGGGUAUGGCUGUUCGCCAUUUAAAGUGGUACGCGAGCUGGGUUUAGAACGUCGUGAGACAGUUCGGUCCCUAUCUGCCGUGGGCGCUGGAGAACUGAGGGGGGCUGCUCCUAGUACGAGAGGACCGGAGUGGACGCAUCACUGGUGUUCGGGUUGUCAUGCCAAUGGCACUGCCCGGUAGCUAAAUGCGGAAGAGAUAAGUGCUGAAAGCAUCUAAGCACGAAACUUGCCCCGAGAUGAGUUCUCCCUGACUCCUUGAGAGUCCUGAAGGAACGUUGAAGACGACGACGUUGAUAGGCCGGGUGUGUAAGCGCAGCGAUGCGUUGAGCUAACCGGUACUAAUGAACCGUGAGGCUUAACCUUACAACGCCGAAGGUGUUU
rnacentral:rRNA from 1 species